GCCGGAGUGAUGGAACUGGUAGACGUGCGGGACUCAAAAUCCCGUGGCCCUUUGGGCCGUGUGGGUUCGACUCCCACCUCCGGCA
rnacentral:tRNA from 1 species